UGGACUUCAAUUUUCGCUAACCCGCCGCAUUUUACUGAAUCACACCUCUCUUUUUACUCAAUAACCUCUCGUCUCUCUCAUCUCCAUCGUCUCUCUCAUUUCUAUGGCACAUCUCUAUCUUCAAUUGCUUGUUAGAUUUCAAAUUAGGGCUUAAUUGGCUGUUAGAAUUCAAAUAAGGGCUCUGUCCGAAGGGUCUAGGCUUUGUUACUCCUAAUUAGGGUUUUGGUCCUUCAAAUCAGAGCUUCGUUUCUUUAUUUUAUUCGUAUUUACAGCUCAUUUAUCACUUAAACUACAUCUACUUGCACAUUAUUUUUGAUUACAGGGCUUUUUCGGCUAGGUGUUUGCAUUUUAAAUUUGGUAUUAAGGUUUUGGUACUUUAAUUUUUUUAGAAUCCAGGUCAUUUCAAAGUUGGUGGGGGAUUUCUUAGGGGGGUGCCUUUAGAUAAUUUCAGACUCGAUUCCAGUUUGAUACAUUGGCAAGCUCAACAAUAUUUGUUGUUAUUGGAUGUUAAUAGUCUUAUUUAGAGCUUGAGGAAGAAUGCAAGAUUCCCAACUCCAGGUGAUGCUUACGGAGGUUGGGAGGCCCCAAAUGUCAAGCUUCAGGGACAUUUUAUUUAAUAUUGCUAUAAAGGAGGCGGAGGGAAGGUUUUGGAGUUGAAAUAAAAGGAUGUUAAUGUGCUUCUACAUGUUGGUGACUGUAUGUUGGUCAGGUUACAUGGCGAUGUCUUAAUUAUAUCAAACGUUGGUGACUCGGGCAGUUCUUGCAGUCACUGUGACAGCCCGAGAAUCCGGGGGUCUGGAUUCUGACGUCACUACACAAAAUCAUUUUAAAACACUUUUGAAAACCUGUAUUUUUGAAAAGGUAAUAAAAAUCAAAGGAUUUAAAACCUGACAACUUUAAUAAAAGAUUUUAAAGAAUACACUUUAACCCCCUUAAAACAGGAUCGCAUCCAGGUUACAGUAUUGAAAUUAGAAUCAACCACUAUCAAUAAACAAUGUCUUACAAUCUCAGAUCAUCUUCGAUAAGAAGGAUCACUGUCAAUCUAUUUCAAUUAUGACUUGCAGCUUCAUCAAUACAAUUCUAUCUAGAACCAACCUUGACAAUCUCCCUGGACAUUCCACUUGUCCUCUGGAUGUUCUAUAACUCUGACUUCUCGCUUAGCCUUAGCCAUACUCGCAAUCUCAAUCAAGCAAUUCAUCUCUAAGCUUUUCUGAAAUGGUUAAAAAGGCAUAGCAAGGGUGAGCAACAAUGCUCAGCAAGUGUAUAUAAGCAACAAUAGUCCUGAAAUAUCUUAUCAGGGUUCACAAGUUCAGGAUAUGUAAUUGAAAACUUCACAAUUCUUAUCAGCAAUUGAAAUCAGAAUUCAAACUUACAGAGGAAUUGUCGAAUUGGAUUCAUCACAUUUUUACUUAAAAACCAAAGGUUAGGCUGCUGAUCAGUCACGCACUAACCCCGAACAUGGCACACAGCCCUGUUCUCUAUACUGGAUCCAAGGCACACAUUGGCCUAUAAUUGACCACGAAUCUGGUCUGACCACGAAUCUGGUCCACAUAUUUUAUAAAAACUAAUCCAAUUCUAACAAUUUAAAUCAACAGACAACUGAAUCAACAGAACAGAAUCAUAAUCAUUCAGCAACAGAAAUAUUUCAAAUCAACUUUUGGGAAUCAACAUUUCAUAAACCACAGUCUGUCUUUUGAUAAAUCAUAGUUCAGGAAAUUCCUAACUAUUCACUGAGCAACACAUGCUUCAAUGACGGUCUGAACUUCGAAUUAAUUUGUAGAACUGGUAUUUUUAAAAUCUUGAGGAUUGGAAAGAAUGGAUCAAAAUAGAAAGUUGAGAGUAAUUAGGUGUUUGGCUUUCAAAACUUGGAAGAAGAAAACAAUCAUGGGAUUCAUUCUCAGAAGUAAGAGUUUGUUUGAGAAGGGUCUCAGCAUAAACAAUAUCAUAAUCUUGACAGAAUAAUCAGAACAUGCAAUAUAUAUAUAUGAGGAAGGAUUUAGGAAUACUUGCCUUAAAUCCGAUUCCACACACAGCUUAAUCUUAUCUUUCCAUCUCACAAUCUGUGCAUAUCAUAACCUCCAGACCAUCUCUGGAUAUACUCUAUUCGUAGUACGACUUCGUCUCUUCGAAUUAUUUCUUAUUCGCUUUGCAUCGUCGUUUGACCUUCUGAAUGUCUUUGCUCGUAUACAUCUCGUCCAAAUCCUUUAUGAGAAUAAAAUACUACCAUAAUCACUAAACCAUCUAUUGAUUCUUAUUUCUACUUAUCAAACUCGGUACCAUAACCUAUCGCAUAUACAUAUCGCGUAUAUCGAUAACAUUCAACACAUUAUCACAUAUCAACCUAUAUAAUGUCUAUGCACUUAUCAGAUAUCACUUAGCAUAUAAUCAUGCUUUGACUCUAUCAUAUAGUCUAAUAAUAUUUCACAUAACAUUUUAUCAAUUAAAUAUCAUAUAAAUCUUAUCGAAAAUCCGACAUCGUCUCGUCUAUUUAUUAGACUAUCCACCUGUUAUCCUAUCUCAAUCAACAAUCAACCAAUCAAAUCCAAUCACUAUAAUCCAUAUGCUUUUAUCCGACAUUUAUCAAGACACGACACUAUGUCAUUCAAUCAUUUAUUACAUGUAUGUAAUACUCGAACAACCAGAUAGUCCAUGCAAUCAUUAAUAACAAUUAGAUCACAUAUAAUCAUAUUCUAUACAUUUAACAACAAUUAUUCACAUUCUAUACUCCACCAUAUUAUUAUGUCAUAUUAAAAUAGACUUUAUAAGCUUUAAUCUCUUUUUCGUUUCACUCCAUUCUGAAUUACCGAUCAAAAGUUAUAAGCAAAACCGUUUUCUAACUCUCCUGUUGGCACAUAACAUAUCAAACAGAUAGCAGACAACAUUUUUCAUAUAAGGUCUCCCAUCCCAAUUGAUGUCAAAUCAAGUCUCAGGUUAAAAAUGAUUUUUCAGGAAUUUUCUGGAAUUUCUAGACAUUUUUCGGAAUUAAAACGGGUAAAAGAAUCCAUUUUUGAAUAAAUAAUCAAGUCCGAUUGCUCAAGAUCGGGUCCAAAAUCAUUUGAAAUCAAUUAACGAGCCUCGAACAUAUUUUAGAAAAAUAAUUCAAAGCUCGAAACUAUUUUUCAGAAUUUUUAAAUCCAAAGGAACAAUUAAAUCUAAUUAAUUAAUCAAUUAAAAUCAAUUAAUAAUUAACUAAAUUAAUUAAUCAAUUAAUAUUUAAAUUAAUUGACCAAUUAAAAUAUUUAAUUACUAAUUAAAAUUAAUUAAAAAACUAAUUUAGAUUUAUUUUUGAAUAAAGAAAUAAUUAAAAAUUAUUUUUGGAAUUUAAAAUAAUUAAUUAAAAACAAUUUUAGAAAAUUAAAUCAGAAGGUUUAUUUUGUAAACUUUUGAAAGUUUUGUCCAGGGUUCAAACUGCAACUUUUCAAAGUUACAGGGGGUGUUUUGUAAGAUUCAAAACUUGGGUACGAUGACUUCAUCAUCUUUAAAAGUUGGGGUACCAAACUGCACUUGGCCGGAAAUCCGGCUCAAAGCUUCGCCGCCGCCGUUAGUUCUUCAACUCCGGCGGGGCUCCACAGGCUACCAACUUAAAAACUGAAUACGGGGAUCGAUUGGGAAUCACGCAAGCUAUCCAGUGGUACUAUCCAAUUAAACCCAGACUCAGCCGUUCGUGAACCCCCAAUUCCAAUUAAAAAUAUUCAAUAACACCUCAAAAACAUUCAAGAACACAUCUCAAGAAUCAAACCCUUAUUUCUAUAUGUUAUGGAAGUCAAAAAUCGACAUAUAAUAUAUGAAAACGAAUGGAAGAAGAUGCUCUACAACAUGGAAUCAUCAAAUCAAUCAAAACAUCACGUUUGCAAAAAUUCACUAUUUAAAUCAUAAUAAUUCGAAUUUUGUAAAAUUAAUAUAAAAUCACCUGACAAAUCUGCACAUAAACGGAUGAUUGUACUAGAUUCUACGCGUCCAGAGCUUCGUUUUGACUAUUUAUACGCCUCCAUCGGAUUCCAAUAACGCCUUCAAAUCCUCGUUUGAUUAUGAAAAACACGAAGAACACCCGUUCGUCUUCUCUCGGUAUUCGUGCAGAGAAACUGACGAAAUGAUUGUACGCGCGAAAUAAACUGGUAAGGGAUAUUUAUAGAGGAAGAUAAGAGAAUAUUCCUUGAAUAUGCUUUGGAAUAUUCCUUGAAUAUGCUUUGGAAUAUUGCUGGAAUAUGCUUCACGCAUUACGAGACAACCAGAUAAUUAUUAACUUUAAAAAUAUUAACAAAAUCGUACCGGACCAUUUACGGGGCAAACCGUACUCCGGAUUGAAAAAGUUAAAACACGAAAAAUGCUCAGAAUGUCCCAAAUAGCUUAAUGGCGAAAUUUUCCCGAACGCCCGCGGGGUUUAAAUUGUUAAAUAACUAUUUAAAUAUAAUUAAUAAUUAAACAAAAUUAAAUUCAUAAAUCGAUUAUAAAAUCACAUAGCAAUCCAAAAAUCGAUAUGAACAUAUCUAAAUAAACUAUAUUUUAUCCCGAUCAUAUCAAAAUGGAAAUAUCUCAAAUCCGAACAUAUAUGAGCAGUCAAUUCAAUAAACCAGAUAACACAAGUCUCACAAAUAUUCAUAUAAAUAUCACAUAUUAUUCAUAAAUUAUCUAGAAAAUAUCCAAAUGUUCCAUAUUUUAUUAUGAGAAUAUGAAAAUUGAAAACUCGUGAUUGCAACAUAUAUAAGCAAUCAAAAUAGAAAACUAGUUAUCAAAUAAUUUACCAAAUAUUCAAAUAAUAUUCGUAAAUAACCAUAACUGGUUACACGACCAUUACACACGUAACACUUAAUCAUGUAAUACAUAUAUUCACAUAUCAACCAUCUAACUUUUACAUGACAAACCUCUGUAUUUUCAGAAAUAAUAUUUGAAAUAAGUUUUGAAAGGAUACUCAUAUAUCCAUAUAUAAAUCAUUUGAAAAUAUCUAAAUAACACAUGACUCAUUCUGAUAAUAUCAAUAAUUAAACCCACAGUUCUGGCACAUAUUAAUACCAAUUACAGAAAAUCAAUUUACACCAAAAUUCAUGCAAUAUUCACAUUAAAUUAUCAUAACUAACUAAACUCACAAUUUCACAUGCAACACUUAGCCAUGUAACUCACAUAGCAAUCUUUUAAAUCUUUAAAAUCAAUUAUAUAAAAUAUAAUUUUGAAAAGACAACCCUGUAUUGAUAAAACAAUAACCCGGAGUUUAAAUAUACAAAUUUAAAAACACAUUAAACUAGAAUAACAUAUUAAACUUUAUUCCUUCUUUCUAAGAAAAUAACUUUCAUAACGAUAAACAAUUUUUGAAAAAAAAUCCGGGUCGUCAAGAUAUACGAAAUCAUAGAAGAAGAAUGCAUAUUCUGUUUAAACCUUAUAUUCCACAUCACAAUUAUACUCAUACUACACAGACCAUUCAUCUUAUCAGAAAGAAAUCAAUUAAAGCCAAUAAUAAUAUUCAAAAACUUAUUUCUAUAUUAAUAAACAAAUUCUGAAAAUCUGGGAUGUUACAUUCUACCCCCCUUAUAAGGAUUCUGUCCUCAGAAUCCGCGAAGAGAACGAAAAUGUACACGCUUCGUACUAUCAUCCCCCACCUUUAAUCGACCUUGGCAUACCUUUGACUUUAAAGAAAUAGGAGCAUCAAUCUUUCCCAAUUGCAGAAUUCAUUUCCCAAAAAUCAAUCUUUGAGAAUUUAGGAUGUGAACCAGAUGUGUAUAAAAUAGGUCAUGUUGGACUAAAUGAGUGACUGAGAGAUCAAUAUGAUCAAACGAACUUAGUGUUGCAUGCCUAUAUUAGACACUACUAAAGGUCGUUAACCUUCUUGUAAUCACAACACACACAAGUGAUGGCGUCCCAUCCAACUCCUAUCACACAGACAGGUAUACCUUGUGUCCCCUAUAAAUAGGGUUGUUCAUCCCAAUCAGAUAGAAGGAAUAUCAAGGAAUCUCAAAGAGUACCAAGGAAUAUCAAGGUAUAUCAAAGAAUAUCAAGGAAUAUCAAGAAAUAUCAUUGUCUUCUCACAAUAACCUUUAUCACACACCAAGAAUCAAUACCAAUAUCAAUAAUCAAUACCAAUGUUUUCUCGUCAUUCGAGAAAUAAGAAAUCUCAUUUAUCAAAACUUUUGUAGAAAAGAUAUCCCAAUAAGGACUUAAUGAUGAUGAGAAGAAUUAAAAUAAGUUUUUAUUGAAGAAAGAUAUUGCCAAGGUCUUCUCAAAUUCUUGCUCUGCUCCCAUAAGCCGUUGUUCAAGAUCAUGAUAAAGUAGUAGUUUCUAAAGUUAAAGGGCGGGAAGCUGUUGAUCGGGCUAUAGGGAAGCUGACAAGACUUCUUUGGAGGCAAAAAAUAAAGGAUACGUUUAUUGUUAUGAAUUUGAUGGUGGUUUAAGUAGUUGGUGAAUUGGAUGUUUUGGUAGCUGGAUGUUGGAUGUUUUAGUAGUUACAUGUUGGAUGUUGGAUGUUUGAUGUAAAGAUUUUAAGUAUGGUUUAUUGGAAUUGUUUAUUUUGGGAA